GUUCUAUAUGGAAGGGGUUGCCAACACUGGUUAUUUGGUGGAAAAAAAGUAGAAAGAAAGGUGGUUGAAUGAGGAGGAAAAGAGAAAUGAAAGGAAAGAAAAGUUGGGAUGAGAAACAAAAGGGAUUCUAUGGUGUCUAAUUGUAUGGGACGAAAAUAGCGUGGUAAGAGAGGGAAAAAUGGUUGCAUAGGGGACAAAGGCAUGAAAGGUGGCUUAGGAGGGAACCAAGGGUACAAGGGUGUGAAAAAGGGG
rnacentral:lncRNA from 1 species